rnacentral:rRNA from 1 species
UACGUAGGGGGCGAGCGUUGUCCGGAUUCAUUGGGCGUAAAGCGCGCGUAGGCGGCCCCGCAAGUCGGCCGUGAAAUCUCCGGGCUCAACUCGGAGGGGUCGGGCGAGACUGCGAGGCUCGAGGUGGGCAGAGGGCAGUGGAAUUCCGGGUGUAGUGGUGGAAUGCGUAGAGAUCCGGAGGAACACCAGUGGCGAAGGCGAGUCCCUGGACAACACCUGACACUGAGGCACGAAAGCUAGGGGAGCAAACAGG